rnacentral:misc_RNA from 1 species
UACGAAGGGGGCUAGCGUUGUUCGGAAUUACUGGGCGUAAAGCGCACGUAGGCGGACAUUUAAGUCAGGGGUGAAAUCCCGGGGCUCAACCCCGGAACUGCCUCUGAUACUGGGUGUCUCGAGUCCGAGAGAGGUGAGUGGAAUUCCGAGUGUAGAGGUGAAAUUCGUAGAUAUUCGGAGGAACACCAGUGGCGAAGGCGGCUCACUGGCUCGGUACUGACGCUGAGGUGCGAAAGCGUGGGGAGCAAACAGG